rnacentral:rRNA from 1 species
UGCAACUCGACUACAUGAAGCUGGAAUCGCUAGUAAUCGCGAAUCAGAAUGUCGCGGUGAAUACGUUCCCGGGUCUUGUACACACCGCCCGUCACACCAUGGGAGUCGGAUAUGCCCGAAGUCAGUGACCUAACCGAAAGGGAGGAGCUGCCGAAGGUGGAGCCGGUAACUGGGGUGAAGUCGUAACAAGGUAAC